AUACGGAGGGUGCAAGCGUUAAUCGGAAUUACUGGGCGUAAAGCGUACGUAGGCGGUCCGUUAAGUUAGAUGUGAAAGCCCCGGGCUUAACCUGGGAACUGCAUUUAAAACUGGCGGACUCGAGUUGAGUAGAGGGGAGUGGAAUUUCAGGUGUAGCGGUGAAAUGCGUAGAGAUCUGAAGGAACACCAGUGGCGAAGGCGACUCCCUGGACUCGAACUGACGCUGAGGUACGAAAGCGUGGGUAGCAAACGGGAUUAGAAACCCGGGUAGUCC
rnacentral:rRNA from 1 species